GUCCUGACUUCCUUCAAUAAUGAAGAGCAACAUGGAAGUGUACCUGAGCAGGCCAGAAGAGGGCGUCAGAUCACCUGGGACCGGAGCUAAAGGUGGCUCUAAGCUGCACCGUAUGGAUGCUGGAAACUGAGCUUGGGUCCUCUGAAAAAGGAGUCACCUCUCCAGCCACUGUGGUUGAUUUACUUUGACCCUCACCACCCCCUGCCCUCCAGAUGGAACAGUGACUAUCAGUUGGAGCAGUCUUCCUUUCAAAGGGACCUUUGCAACGAUGGAAAAGAAGACUAGCUAGUUGUUACAGAUGGGGUGAGAAGUUGUGCUAUAGAUGCCUCCCGGGUAAAGUCUGUAGAUGCUGUCUCAUCUAUCAAGCAAUGGAAAGCUCCAUAGCAAAUGAUUAUAUGACACGAAAUGUCAACAGCCUGAGGGGAAGGAGCACUGAUCCAGCAGAAGUUGUCCACUGGACAUAAACAUAAAUAUUUAGAAGACAUUUUCAAAGCAUGACCAUUUGACAAAAUAACAACAGUAUUGGAUACUACAGUCCCAAGAAUGAAAUUCUCUGCUGUGGCUCAAGCUCCAAACUCAGACAGUUGUUGGCACUGUUACACCAAUGAUCCCAUCUGUCUGGCAGAGCUGUCUUACAACAUCAACAUCCUGCAC